rnacentral:rRNA from 1 species
UACAGAGGGUGCGAGCGUUAAUCGGAAUUACUGGGCGUAAAGGGCGCGUAGGUGGUUACUUAAGUCAGAUGUGAAAUCCCUGGGCUCAACCUAGGAAUUGCAUUUGAAACUGAGUAGCUAGAGUAUGGUAGAGGUAAGUGGAAUUUCCGGUGUAGCGGUGAAAUGCGUAGAUAUCGGAAGGAACAUCAGUGGCGAAGGCGGCUUACUGGACCAUUACUGACACUGAGGCGCGAAAGCGUGGGGAGCGAACAGG